CGGGCGAGGCGCCGGUCUAAGUCCCUUGGAACGGGGCGUCAGAGAGGGUGAGAAUCCCGUAUGUGACCGAUGAGCGCGCCCAUGUGAAACCCCUUCGACGAGUCGAGUUGUUUGGGAAUGCAGCUCAAAAUGGGUGGUAAAUUUCAUCUAAAGCUAAAUACCGGCCAGAGACCGAUAGCGCACAAGUAGAGUGAUCGAAAGAUGAAAAGCACUUUGGAAAGAGAGUCAAAAAGUACGUGAAAUUGUUGAAAGGGAAGCGCUUGCGACCAGACCUGCCCGCGGGCGAUCAGCCGUCCUUCUGGGCGGUGCACUCGCCCGCGAUCAGGCCAGCAUCGGUUCGGGCGGCCGGAUAAAGGCCCGGGGAAUGUAGCUCCCUCCGGGGAGUGUUAUAGCCCCAGGUGCCAUGCGGCCCGCCGGGACCGAGGACCGCGCUUCGGCUAGGAUGCUGGCGUAAUGGUCGUAAGCGGCCCGUCUUGAAACACGGACCAAGGAGUCGACCAACUAUGCGAGUGUUUGGGCGUCAAACCCACACGCGCAAUGAAAGUGAACGGAGGUGGGAACCCCUCGCGGGGCGCACCAUCGACCGAUCCAGAUGUCUUCGGAUGGAUUUGAGUACGAGCAUAGCUGGUCGGACCCGAAAGAUGGUGAACUAUGCCUGGAUAGGGUGAAGCCAGAGGAAACUCUGGUGGAGGCUCGCAGCGGUUCUGACGUGCAAAUCGAUCGUCAAAUUUGGGCAUAGGGGCGAAAGACUAAUCGAACCGUC
rnacentral:rRNA from 1 species